rnacentral:pre_miRNA from 1 species
ACUUUCACAUUCUCUUGUCCCUUCUGUUGGCCUCCUUCUCUUCAAUUCUCUCUUACGUUCUCAGAAUUGAAGAGAAGGAGGCCAACAGAAGGGACAAGAGAAUGUGAGAGA